AUUGAACGCUGGCGGCAGGCCUAACACAUGCAAGUCGAACGAGCGGCGGACGGGUGAGUAAUGUAUGGGGAUCUGCCCGAUAGAGGGGGAUAACUACUGGAAACGGUGGCUAAUACCGCAUACUAUCGGAUGUACCCAGAUGGGAUUAGCUAGUAGGUGGGGUAAAGGCUCACCUAGGCGACGAUCUCUAGCUGGUCUGAGAGGAUGAUAAGCCCAACGGGGAGUGAGACACGGCCCGGCCUCCUACGGGAGGAAGCAGGGGGGAAUAUUGGACAAGGGGGAAAAGCUUGAUGCGGCAAUGCGGCUGGUAUGAGGCAGGCCUUAGGUUGUUAAAGUAUUUUCAGCGGGGAGGCGGUACCCGAAGAAGAAGCACCGGCUAACUCCGUGCCAGCAGCCGCGGUAAUAC
rnacentral:rRNA from 1 species